AUGUCGGCCGCCGCCGGCAAGCCGUCCCGGUCUGCCUCCGCCAUCAUUGCCUCCACAACGAGCGGGUGCCACCUCCUCAAGAUCGAUGGCUACUCCCGCACCAAGGGCGUCCCCACCGGAGAAAGGAUAAAGUCCCGCUCUUUCACCCUUGGAGGACAUCGAUGGUACAUCGCUUACCAUCCCAACGGCUCCGGACAACAGUACGCAGACUGCAUAUCCCUCUUCCUCGUCCUCGAUGAAAAUGUCACCACGGCAAUGAAGGCACAACACAAAUUCAGUGUCGCGGAUGAGUUGACGGACCAAGCUCCUUCAUUGGCAUCACAAGCAGUACACAACCACAAUUCUCAGCAGCGCUGGGGGAAUGCGAUGUUCAUGAAAAGGGCAGACUUGGAGAAGUCGGCACAUCUCAAGGACGAUUCUUUCACCAUCAGGUGUGAUAUCCUUGUCAUCAUGGAUUACCGUGCAGAGGACUUGCCCAAAGACACCCCUCCAACAUUUGUCUCUGUGGCCCCAUCUGACCUGCACCAGCACCUCGGCGAUCUCCUCAAGACCGAGAAGGGCGCCGAUGUGGUCUUCCAGGUCGGUGGUCAUACGUUUGCAGCACACAGGUGUGUGCUUGCUGCCCGAUCGCCAGUCUUUAGUGCGGAGCUCUUUGGUGGCAUGAAGGAGGGUGACACCGCAGGUGUGGUGCGCAUAGAUGAAAGGAGGCAGAGGUGUUUGAGGCAUUGCUCUGUUUUGCGUAUACCGACUCCUUACCGUUGA
rnacentral:rRNA from 1 species